AUUGAACGCUGGCGGCAUGCUUUACACAUGCAAGUCGAACGGUAACAGGCCGCAAGGUGCUGACGAGUGGCGAACGGGUGAGUAAUGCAUCGGAACGUGCCCAGUCGUGGGGGAUAACUACUCGAAAGAGUAGCUAAUACCGCAUACGAUCUAUGGAUGAAAGCGGGGGACCGUAAGGCCUCGCGCGAUUGGAGCGGCCGAUGUCAGAUUAGGUAGUUGGUGGGGUAAAGGCUCACCAAGCCAACGAUCUGUAGCUGGUCUGAGAGGACGACCAGCCACACGGGGACUGAGACACGGCCCAGACCCCUACGGGGGGCAGCAGGGGGGAAUUUUGGCAAAUGGGCGCAAGCCUGAUCCAGCAAUGCCGCGUGCAGGAAGAAGGCCUUCGGGUUGUAAACUGCUUUUGUACGGAACGAAACGGCUCUGGUUAAUACCCGGGGCUAAUGACGGUACCGUAAAAAUAAGCACCGGCUAACUACGU
rnacentral:rRNA from 1 species